rnacentral:tRNA from 2 species
GGAGAGCACCUCCCUUACAAGGAGGGGGUCGGCGGUUCGAUCCCGUCAUCACCCACCA